UUUCCUAGGCGUCACGCAUAAAGUCAAGAGAGAAAUGACAAAAGAUUCAAGACUUGCAAGUUUGGAGGAGCUCACUCUUUUUUGAAUGUUUAUAUUUAUUCUAUGAUUAAAGUUAAUAUUAAAGAAAAAUACUAUUUAAUUUUGAACUUUUAAUGUAAAAACACAAUGUUAUUUCUUUUCUAGGUGGGACUAAAUAUUAUGUCUUACCUAAUUCAAAAUGGUAGAAUAAAAAUAACAAUAUUAUCAUAACUAUUAUUAUUUCAAUGUAAAUCAAUUAUUAUUAUUAAUCAACCUAAAACUUCUUGAUAGAAACUUAACAAACAAAGACAAAACUAAGACAAAAAUCAAAUAUCAAAUAGAACUUUAUCUUAAUUUAAAAAGGAAUGCGAAGACAUAGCCCUUUCUAAUAAAUUAGAGCUAACCCUUUAAUGAAAAUCACAAAA
rnacentral:lncRNA from 1 species